GAAAUUCCUCUCCUGCUGAGUUUUUUUGUUUUUGUUUUUUCUUUCCCUGCAUGCCUGUGGGUCUGAGAUGCAUGUUGCAUGUGCCCUGGGAACUGCAGCCAAGUCUUGACUUUGGUCCCUUGUCUGUGUUUUUCCUGCAGGAGCCUGAACUGAGUCCACACACUGAACUCACAGACCUGCAGGAGGAGAUGGAAGAAAGAAAAUCAACAGGUUUUGAGGAUGAGAAGAACCCAAGUAAUGGCAGAGGAGGUGCUUUGCAAGAGAGAUUGCUGCAGUGGCAUCCAGGACUGUCAGUGGAAGUGGGGAAUGACAUGACACCACCUUUCGGACACCCAACUGGCAAGAGGCCACGCAGUCCAAGAAUUGGUCGCAGACUUGAAGAAACUCUUCCAGAACAAGAUACAUAAAUGGGCCACAAGAACAUAAAAAGAUAAUCAACUCAGUGUCAGUGAUCAGAGAAACAAAUUAAAACUACAGUGAGUUCCGAUUAUAUAUUCAUUACCAUGGUUAAAUUUAAAGAGAUUGAAAAUACCACAUGUGGUAAAGGGGUAAAGCCACCAGAUGUUUCUUACACUUGGGGGAAUGAGUAGUCAUUCAGGCACUUUGAAAAGCUGAAUGACAGUUGGAGCACACACCCAUCAUGUGAGCAGCCUUUCCAUUCCUAGGUGUUUACAGAGUAUGUCCCCAUAACAACCUGCACAUGAAUAUCCAUAGUGAGUUUCUUCAAAAGAACUGAACUCUGGAAACUACAGGGACAUCCAUUAGUUGGUGAAUGUAUGAACUGACACAAAGUAUCGAUAUAAAG
rnacentral:lncRNA from 9 species